rnacentral:rRNA from 1 species
AGACGAGAAGACCCUGUGGAGCUUCUAAACCAAAACCAAAUAUAUGCCCCUUGGUUUUUAGUUGGGGCAACUUCGGAGUACAAACAAACCUCCGACAAACCACAAAUCAAGACAAACAAGUCAAAACCCCACUUGACCCACUAGUCUAGCAGACUAUUUGACCAAUGAACCAAGUUACCCCAGGGAUAACAGCGCUAUCCUCUUUUAGAGUCCCUAUCGACAAGAGGGCUUACGACCUCGAUGUUGGAUCAGGACACCCCAAUAAUGCAGCCGUUAUUAAAGGUUCGUUUGUUCAACGAUUAAAGUCCU